CCUACGGGAGGCAGCAGUGGGGAAUAUUGCGCAAUGGGCGAAAGCCUGACGCAGCGACGCCGCGUGAGGGAUGAAGGUCUUCGGAUCGUAAACCUCUGUCAGCAGGGAAGAACGGUCACUGUGCUAAUCAGCAGUGAAUUGACGGUACCUGCAAAGGAAGCACCGGCUAACUCCGUGCCAGCAGCCGCGGUAAUACGGAGGGUGCGAGCGUUAAUCGGAAUUACUGGGCGUAAAGCGCUCGUAGGCGGUAUGUCAAGUCAAGGGUGAAAGCCCCGCGCUCAACGGGGGAACUGCCUUUGAAACUGGCAAACUGGAGUGUGUGAGAGGAUAGUGGAAUUCCAGGUGUAGGAGUGAAAUCCGUAGAUAUCUGGAGGAACAUCAGUGGCGAAGGCGACUAUCUGGCACAUAACUGACGCUGAGGAGCGAAAGCGUGGGUAGCAAACAGGAUUAGAUACCCGGGUAGUC
rnacentral:rRNA from 1 species